rnacentral:tRNA from 1 species
GCCGUGGUAGCCCAGUGGUAGAGCAUCGGACUCGUUAUUCGAAGGUCGCAGGUUCGGUUCCUGCCCACGGCA